rnacentral:rRNA from 1 species
AUUGAACGCUGGCGGCAUGCCUUACACAUGCAAGUCGAACGGCAGCGGGGACUUCGGUCCGCCGGCGAGUGGCGAACGGGUGAGUAAAGCAUCGGAACGUACCCGGAAGUGGGGGAUAACGUCGCGAAAGUUACGCUAAUACCGCAUAUUCUGUGAGCAGGAUAGAGGGGGAUCUUCGGACCUCUUGCUUUCGGAGCGGCCGAGGUCAGAUUAGCUAGUUGGGGGGGUAAGGGCUCACCAAGGCGACGAUCUGUAGCGGGUCUGAGAGGAUGAUCCGCCACACUGGAACUGAGACACGGUCCAGACUCCUACGGGAGGCAGCAGUGGGGAAUUUUGGACAAUGGGCGCAAGCCUGAUCCAGCCAUGCCGCUUGAGUGAAGAAGGCCUUCGGGUUGUAAAGCUCUUUCGGCCGGGAAGAAAUCGCAUGGGUUAAUACCCUGUGCGGAUGACGGUACCGGCAUAAGAAGCACCGGCUAACUACGUGCCAGCAGCCGCCGUAACAC